GUUCCUGUACCUCAAUUGGUUAGAGGGCGCGCCUUAUAAGCGCGUUAUCCGUGUUCGAUCCCCGGCAGGAAUA
rnacentral:tRNA from 1 species